CUCAGACUGCUGUGCUAGCAAUCAGCGAGACUCCGUGGGAGUAGGACCCUCCGAGCCAGGUGUGGGAUAUAAUCUCGUGGUGCGCCAUUUUUCAAGCCCGUCAGAAAAGCGCAGUAUUCGGGUGGGAGUGACCCGAUUUUCCAGGAGUCCUAACCUAAAAUAAAAUAGAACAUACUGUGCUUAAAGCAAGGGGGGAAUCAUGUAACAAUAAAACCAGUGAAGAAAAUUCUAAUGCUCAGGUAAGGCCUCAGAAAAAGUGGAAAACAGCUGGUCCUCAGGAUCCUCCAGCCUUUGCCAAGGAAAAGUGGUUUUAAUCACUGAAGAAUGAGGCUUCAACAUAUGGAAAGACUGUAAGGUCAUUCACUUUGGGAGAAGCCAGUCUUCAUGCCAUGAGGACGUUCAGGCAGCCCUGUGGAGAGAACCACAUGGAAAGGAUCUGAGGUCUCUCACCAGCACCAAUUUGCCAGCUAUGGGAAUGGGCCACCUUGGAAGGAGACUGUCCAGCCCAAGUGAAGGCUGCAGAUAACUGCAGCUUUGGCCAACAUUUGGCUAUAUUGCUUUGGGAAAUCUCAAGCCAGAACCAUCUGGCCAAGCUGCUCUUAAAUUCCUGAUCCACAGAAGUUUUGGAAGGUAACAAGACACACAAUUCUUACAGAUCCCUCAAGAGCUGUUUGAAAAAUAGUGGAUUUUAAAAUCUAGAAGGAGUGUGAAAGGAACCCAGGGGCUUUGCCAAUGGAGUGUCAUCAUUCAGGCCCCAUUUUGAAUCUAAACCAUCUGAUGAACCCUUUGCUGACACAUCAGCCUAUUGCUUCCUGGAAGAAUAAUUUGCACUUCAAGACUAAUUCUGAAACAAUACAAUUGCAAGGAGGAAACACAUUUGGAGUAGAGAAAUUAUAUAUGUAUAUAAAACUUAUUAUCUAACCAGGACAUAUUUGAGGUGCCAGACUAUGUGAGUGAGUGUGCUUUCACAUGACUUCAAUCCCAGCCGUCUGCAUCCAUCUGAGAGAUCCUGAGCCAAAACCUGCCCAACCAAGUCACUCCUGAGUCCCUGACCCACAAAAACUGUGAGAGAUAAUAAAUGAUUGUUAUAGUUUGAAGCCA
rnacentral:lncRNA from 1 species